AGAGUGCUUUAUAACCAGAGAGUGCUUUUGCCAGUGGGGACUCCCCUGUGAAUAGAAGGAAUAGUAUUAUCAGUACUACAAACCUUGGGAAAUGAAUGUGAAGCCUGAAGUGACAGCAACUUAGCCAAGCUCCAGGCAGGAUAUUCUGCAGCACGAUCUACAAUAGAGUGAUAUUUUAAAGAGCUUCUACAAGCUAGAGCCUUCAGUUAUCUUCAGAUUGUCAGCUGCAGGCAGGGAAGAGUGAAUGAAACCUUGUCUAUGCCGCUGAUCAGCAACAAGAUCCAGAAUAAGGUUCUUCAAAAUGCAGCAGUAGUAAGAAAAUCUAUUUCUCCCUACUUUCCAACUUGGCCUGUUUAGUUUCUUCAGCUGUCAUGCCUGUGAUUUGUAAGCAUAAGCUUGUAUGCAGUGCAGUAAUUUUUGUUUGUUUCAUGUCGUACUAUAGGGCUGCACCAAAAGGCUUUUGACCUUUUGGCCUUGGGCACUUUUUCUCCAGCAGAAACUGCUUUGACAGUUUUCAGGAGUUGUGUUAGAAUAUGAAAGGAUAGGAAUGCUGUUCAUCUUUACCUUUUAGUCAUUCCUCUCAUGUUCUUCACUUAAGUAAAUCCACACAUUGCACUGUUUUGUUUUCAGUUCCUAUUUGCCCUCAUGCUGAGAGUGCUGGUUUCCAUUAAUGAGUCCAGCAAUUGAUGACACUCGAUGAUAACUCAGCAUCCAGAAAUCCUGAAAGCAUGCUGACUGUACAAAACACAGCUGUAAGAACUGACUGUGAGGUGGCUAUUUUUUUUCCCUUUUAAAAGGAUGCGGCUAUUUGGUGUUCCCAGCAUGCGUGUCUUGUUGUCACUGUGGGCCAAAGGGAAGUUAAGUGUGGAUUUUGAUGGCUGACAAGAGAGUUUCUUCUUUUUUGACCCCUCAUCUGACUAGAUAAUAUUCUUGCAGCUAUUACAGUAAGGCCAAGAAAGGGGGAAGAAAUUACAGAAGGAUGCAUUCAGAGAAUGAAUGACAAGAAUGGAA